GUGGGGAAUAUUGGACAAUGGGCGAAAGCCUGAUCCAGCCAUGCCGCGUGCAGGAUGAAGGCCUUCGGGUUGUAAACUGCUUUUGUACGGAACGAAAAGACUCUGGUUAAUACCUGGGGUCCAUGACGGUACCGUAAGAAUAAGCACCGGCUAACUACGUGCCAGCAGCCGCGGUAAUACGUAGGGUGCAAGCGUUAAUCGGAAUUACUGGGCGUAAAGCGUGCGCAGGCGGUUAUAUAAGACAGAUGUGAAAUCCCCGGGCUCAACCUGGGAACUGCAUUGGUGACUGUAUAGCUAGAGUACGGCAGAGGGGGAUGGAAUUCCGCGUGUAGCAGUGAAAUGCGUAGAUAUGCGGAGGAACACCGAUGGCGAAGGCAGUCCCCUGGGCCUGUACUGACGCUCAUGCACGAAAGCGUGGGGAGCAAACAGGAUUAGAAACCCUUGUAGUCC
rnacentral:rRNA from 1 species